UUACUAAACUUUUAUUACUUUUAUCUUUGAAGGCUGGAACCAUCAAAGUUCUUAGAUCAACUUUAAGUGCUGGAUGGAGUAAAAAAAACCCACAAGAGACUAUUUGUCGAUCUGUGAACAGAUCUGACAAGAAAAUGCAAAACAAAAUCAAAAAGGAUGCAAAGACUGUUCUGGGGAGCCAGUCAAAUUAUUUAUUAAAAUUUGUUAGAAGUAAACUAAAACAUUAAUAAAUGAAAUCAAAAUUUUAAACUGAGCUCCAGACUUGAAACUGUUACAAAGGCUCAGGAUAUAGAACCUUCGGUUGGGUUGAGAGAAUUCUCUUAAAACCUGCUGGUUUGUUCCCCUAGAGCAAGGCGGUGCUUUGUCCUUAGCUACAAUCUCUAACACCAUCACCACUCCCAAGUGUAGAUGCCAUUCUGAAAAAGAUCCCCUCAGUUCCUGAUGACCCUG
rnacentral:lncRNA from 1 species